rnacentral:rRNA from 1 species
AUGCAUAGACAGUCCUCGAAAGAAAAUGAGUUCGAUCAGCAACACCGGUCUCCGCAGCACCAGGAUAAAGACCUUCUUUUUACCCAUAACCUUUCUCUGCAGCAUUGGAACCAAGAUCGGGCUUGGCAUAGUUAA